rnacentral:antisense_RNA from 1 species
ACCAGCCGUGUGGAGAUGCGGUGCAGGAAGUCGGCGCGGGCGUCCCGCACCUUGGUGUGGGCGCGGGCGACCUUCGCCUUGGCCUUGGCCUGGUUCGCGCUGCCGCGCUGCUUGCGGGCCAUCCUGCGCUGGUAGCGGGCCAGGUUUCUGGCCUUGCAUCCCAGAUGGCGAGGGUUGGGGAUCUUCUCACCGGUGGACAGGACGACGAAGUCGGUCACGCCGAGGUCGAUUCCGGCCUGGCUGCCGGUGCACGGCAGCGGCUCAGGAUCGGCAUCGGCCUCCACGGCGAGAGAGGCGUACCAGCGGCCGGAAGGAUCGCGCGAGACGGUCACCGUCGUCGGGUCGAUCAUGGCCGGGGCGACCUCCGGCCAGGACCACACGAACUCCAGCGGGCCGUCCAUCUUCGCCAGGUGCAGUCGCCCAUCCCGCCAGCGGAACGCCGACCGGGUGUAGGUCGCGGACUGGCGGCCAUGGCGGGACUUGAACCGCGGAUGGCGGGCGCGUCCUGCGAAGAAGUUCACAAAGGCCGUGUGCUGGUGCCGCAACGCUUGCUGCAGGGGGACGCUGGAGACCUCGUACAGGAAGUUAUG